GCCCCGGUAAACGGCGGCCGUAACUAUAACGGUCCUAAGGUAGCGAAAUUCCUUGUCGGGUAAGUUCCGACCUGCACGAAUGGCGUAAUGAUGGCCAGGCUGUCUCCACCCGAGACUCAGUGAAAUUGAACUCGCUGUGAAGAUGCAGUGUACCCGCGGCAAGACGGAAAGACCCCGUGAACCUUUACUAUAGCUUGACACUGAACAUUGAGCCUUGAUGUGUAGGAUAGGUGGGAGGCUUUGAAGUGUGGACGCCAGUCUGCAUGGAGCCGACCUUGAAAUACCACCCUUUAAUGUUUGAUGUUCUAACGUUGGCCCGUAAUCCGGGUUGCGGACAGUGUCUGGUGGGUAGUUUGACUGGGGCGGUCUCCUCCUAAAGAGUAACGGAGGAGCACGAAGGUUGGCUAAUCCUGGUCGGACAUCAGGAGGUUAGUGCAAUGGCAUAAGCCAGCUUGACUGCGAGCGUGACGGCGCGAGCAGGUGCGAAAGCAGGUCAUAGUGAUCCGGUGGUUCUGAAUGGAAGGGCCAUCGCUCAACGGAUAAAAGGUACUCCGGGGAUAACAGGCUGAUACCGCCCAAGAGUUCAUAUCGACGGCGGUGUUUGGCACCUCGAUGUCGGCUCAUCACAUCCUGGGGCUGAAGUAGGUCCCAAGGGUAUGGCUGUUCGCCAUUUAAAGUGGUACGCGAGCUGGGUUUAGAACGUCGUGAGACAGUUCGGUCCCUAUCUGCCGUGGGCGCUGGAGAACUGAGGGGGGCUGCUCCUAGUACGAGAGGACCGGAGUGGACGCAUCACUGGUGUUCGGGUUGUCAUGCCAAUGGCACUGCCCGGUAGCUAAAUGCGGAAGAGAUAAGUGCUGAAAGCAUCUAAGCACGAAACUUGCCCCGAGAUGAG
rnacentral:rRNA from 1 species